rnacentral:lncRNA from 13 species
ACAAAAUAUAAUUUACAUUCUGAGAUAGAACCAUUAGCACCUAAUUUUCCAAUAGUAUUCUGAGACUGAAAUAGACUGAGCUUGGGACUUAAAGUCCUAUCUGAUUGUAUUUUUUUAAUAUUUUAUUUUAAUCAGUGUUCUUUCUUCCUGUAUAGGGAGAGGUUGGCUUCUGUGGCAUCUGUUACAGGAGUGAAACUAUGAAUUUCAUACAUCACUUCCAGCAUCUGGGCUUCAUGUAGAUGUGUGACAUCUGAGCUAGAAAGAUGGAAAGAAGAGCUCUGUUCCUUCCUGUGACAGUAAAAGAACUUCCUGGUGUGUGGAUUUGUUCCACGAUGGUCUGCCAGAGAAAUUUGUCUGUCUUUUCAAAACUGAGUGGUGCAAAAAAGAAGCCAUUACAGAUCCUGGUAACUGAAGCAGUGCAAACCCAUGGACUGUCCUUUGCUGCAUGUUUAGAGUGUGAACUUCCAGUCCAUCUGCCCAUUCAGUCACCUGCAAACCCACCAGGGACACAGCUGGUACAAACAAAAGCUAAGCAUGGGGCCUGAAAAAAAAUUUUGAGGAUGAAAAAUGGGUGCUGUACUUCAGAAAUUGGUAAGUUCAUUUCAAAUAGCUCCUUGGUAAUUUGGCAUUUUGUUACACAACAUGAUA